AUCUUGCGCAAUGGGCGAAAGCCUGACGCAGCAAUGCCGCGUGAGGGAAGACGGCCUUAGGGUUGUAAACCUCUUUCAGCAGGGACGAAAACAGACGGUACCUGCAGAAGAAGCCCCGGCUAACUACGUGCCAGCAGCCGCGGUAAUACGUAGGGGGCGAGCGUUGUCCGGAAUCAUUGGGCGUAAAGAGCGUGUAGGUGGACUGGAAGGUCUGGUGUGAAAGCCCGGGGCUCAACCCCGGAGAGUCACUGGAAACCAACAGUCUUGAGUCCGGAAGAGGAGAGUGGAAUUCCUGGUGUAGCGGUGGAAUGCGCAGAUAUCAGGAGGAACACCGAUGGCGAAGGCAGCUCUCUGGUACGUGACUGACACUGAGACGCGAAAGCGUGGGGAGCGAACAGG
rnacentral:rRNA from 1 species